rnacentral:rRNA from 1 species
CAGUCGCCGCGGUAAUACGAAGGGUGCAAGCGUUACUCGGAAUUACUGGGCGUAAAGCGUGCGUAGGUGGUGGUUUAAGUCCGUUGUGAAAGCCCUGGGCUCAACCUGGGAAUUGCAGUGGAUACUGGGUCACUAGAGUGCGGUAGAGGAUAGUGGAAUUUCCGGUGUAGCAGUGAAAUGCGUAGAGAUCGGAAGGAACAUCUGUGGCGAAGGCGACUAUCUGGGCCAACACUGACACUGAGGCACGAAAGCGUGGGGAGCAAACAGGAUUAGAUACCCCCGUAGUCCCUGUCUCUUAUAA